rnacentral:rRNA from 1 species
GACGAACGCUGGCGGCGUGCCUAAUACAUGCAAGUUGAGCGAUGAAGAUUGGUGCUUGCACCAAUUUGAAGAGCAGCGAACGGGUGAGUAACGCGUGGGGAAUCUGCCUUUGAGCGGGGGACAACAUUUGGAAACGAAUGCUAAUACCGCAUAACAACUUUAAACAUAAGUUUUAAGUUUGAAAGAUGCAAUUGCAUCACUCAAAGAUGAUCCCGCGUUGUAUUAGCUAGUUGGUGAGGUAAAGGCUCACCAAGGCGAUGAUACAUAGCCGACCUGAGAGGGUGAUCGGCCACAUUGGGACUGAGACACGGCCCAAACUCCUACGGGAGGCAGCAGUAGGGAAUCUUCGGCAAUGGACGAUAGUCUGACCGAGCAACGCCGCGUGAGUGAAGAAGGUUUUCGGAUCGUAAAACUCUGUUGGUAGAGAAGAACGUUGGUGAGAGUGGAAAGCUCAUCAAGUGACGGUAACUACCCAGAAAGGGACGGCUAACUACGUG